UACAGAGGGGGCGAGCGUUAUUCGGAAUUAUUGGGCGUAAAGGGCGCGUAGGCGGCCUGGCAAGUGACGGGUGAAAUCCCCAGGCUCAACUUGGGAACUGCGUCUGAUACUGGAUGGCUUGAAUUCGGGAGAGGGAUGCAGAAUUCCAGGUGUAGCGGUGAAAUGCGUAGAUAUCUGGAGGAAUACCGGUGGCGAAGGCGGCAUCCUGGACCGAGAUUGACACUGAUGAGCGAAAGCCAGGGGAGCAAACGGG
rnacentral:rRNA from 1 species